CCCUUGCCUGCCCCAUCGGAGCCGCCGGAGGUGGAGUCCGCCUCCGGGACCCCCGAACUCCUGUGCGUGCCCCUCCAUGGUGCUCUAGGCUGUGGAGGGCAAGGCCAGUCCCCGGGGGCAGGGUGAGGAAGGGGCCCCCAUGCAGCCCUGCUGCGGAUUGGCGGGAGGACCCCAGGCUGGGCCAACCCAGCAGCCCCCGGCCAGGAGCGGGCAUCCCAAUGGGGAAAUCGGCCAGGAGGGGCUGGGGAAGCUGGUGCCUUCGCCCGCGCCCCGUGAGCUUUACCUCCGUGCGACAAGAGCGGUGGCUCCGGGCGGGGCCCACGCAGCUGGAGCCUCCAUCUCUCCUGCGGGACCAGAGCACCGGGAAGACCUGACCGAGACCCAACGUCCCCGCCCCCGUUCUGGGGCUCUCUGCAGGCCCCAACUUCUGCGGGACUCUCCGGUGGGAGCAGCAAGGGUUCUCAGGAACAACCCCUAUACAAACCGGGACAGAGGCACCUCACUACUCCUUCUGUGCCCCACCUUCUCCACUGACCCUGCCGGAGUGCAGCACACACAGCAAGCAUUUAAUAAAUCGCUUGAAGUGGGGAACAUCUGUACUCGGUAAAGAAACCACAGGAAUUGGGAACUGCUGGUUGAAGAUUAUUUACCAGUUCCAGCAAAAUUGACUGCACCUGCCAUACUGCAGGCAGGUGCAGCAUCAGGAGCUGGCGACCAGGGGCAACAGGCAGCACGCGUGCUCCAGCUCAGAGUGGAAGGCCCUGGGAAAUGGUUUGAUUUCCUGCGCUGAACUGAUGCUGCUUCCAGAAUGAAUCUGCUCCUUGGUGGGUUCUGCUGAUGUGGCCAGUGCUAGCCUAGGCCACGACCACCUAGCCCACCACCCAGAAGGCAGCAUCCCCUGCUCCUGCUUUAACAACCUGGCCCAUUUUCAUCUCUCCUACCUCUGGGAGUAGCAGGGGCGCUCCCGGAAGCUGACACCCCCUCCACAGGUCCGGCUGCAGGGGCUCCACUGGCCCCAGGGUCCCCAGGUGUCACUCUGCCGCCUCACCUUGGGAGCCUGCAGAAGACAGGACCAUGCAUCAGCAUUGCCCACUCACAGCCUGAUCCCAGAGGCCCCUCCAAAGAUGCUCUGCCUAAAACCCUCCCCCACCCAUCAAGAAGUCUGGGAUUCUCCCUUCCAGGGCCCGCCUUUAGGACUCAGCAACACUGCCGGGCACCCCAAAACAUAUUCCUUUUCAGAAUUAGCCUGCUUUCCUCAUAAGGAGCUGAGAGCCAGGCCUGGAGGGCGGGAGCAGGAGCAGCUGGGAAGAGUUUGGAGUUUCAGGGGCCACUGGAGGGAGGGACCCUACAGCCAGGGGCAGUUUGAGGGUCCAGGCAUUUGUAGGUUAACCGUGAUGUAGGGAAGGGGGCCCUAAAAGAAAAUAAAGGGAAGCAACGUGGGGGGAUCCUGCUAAUCUGGCCGAGACUCCCAGGAGUACCCCAAUAUUCAUCCCCUCCUUCUCCCAGUACCCCAAUAUUCAUCCCCUCCUCCCAGUACCCCAAUAUUCAUCCCCUCCUUCUCCCAUUGUGAGAGAACGCUUGAAAACUUGACUCAGCUGGGUACCUGGCUGCCCAAAAUUAAAAAAAAAAUACAUUUCCUGGACUGCCUGCAGCUAACUGUGGCUACAUCACUUAGUUCUCAUCAGUGAGAUGUAAAUACAAGUGUUGGGCAGCUGCCGCAAAUAAUCUCAAGAGAGAGCCUGCGUGAGCCUUUGUCCUUUUCUCCUUCCUCCUGUACUCUUUCAGGCUGUCUGGGAAGCAGAUGUGAUGACUGGAGUUGGAGCAGCCUUUUAGACUGUGAGGUAACUUGGAAAUAGAGGCUUCAAACAGUGAAGCAAAGAUAGAGAGACUCUAGAGCCUGGAGGAUUUUGUGCAACAGAAUAGCCCCAGACUUCUGACCCCUGGGUGUUUAUAUGAGAGAGGAAUCAUGUCUGUCUUAUUGAAGAACUGUUAUUUGGGACUCUACACAGGAUUAUAAUCCUAGCAGGUACACUUUCCCACCAGAAAGAUUGGACCCCUUGCAGCUGGCGUCAGGAAUCCACAUGCCACACACACAUUAUCUCAUUUCAUCCUCACAACAACCCGACAGACCCCAUUGCAUGAAUAAGAAAAGUGAGGCAGAGAGAGAAGUGGGCACAGUAGCCGGCCAGCCUCACUGCAGUCCUCUGCUCCCCUGCCGAGGCUGUGCCCCCACCCACCUGGGGGAAUCAAAUGAGACACUAGAUGAUUCCCUACAGGGGUGGACAGGGAUUAGAUGUAACUUCACAAUUUUCCCAGGAGGCAUAUGGUGUACAUGCAAACAUUUGCUGGAAGGGGACUUUCUUUUAGGGUAUCACCACUUAAGACUCUCAAGGAAAAAUACCAUUCCCACUUUUCAGAGAAAGAGCUCAAUGGUCACAUAGAAAAGCAGCCGGGCACGGUGGCUCAUGCCUGUAAUCCCAGCACUUUGAGAGGCCAAGGCAGGCAGAUACCUGAGGUCAGGAGUUCGAGACCAGCCUACCCAACAUGGCGAAACCCCGUCUCUACUAAAACUACAAAAAAUUAGCCAGGCGUGGCGGCGGGUGCCUGUAAUCCCAGCUACUCGGGAGGCUGAGGCAGGAGAAUUGCUUGAACCCGGGAGGCGGAGGUUGCAGUAAGCCGAGAUUGCAUCACUGCACUCCAGCCUGGGCGACAGAGAGAGACUCCAUCUCAAAAAAAGAAAAGAAAAGCAGGCUCUUGCUUUCAUGGUGAUCCCUGAGCAGCUUCACUGAAUCUCAGGUGAGGAAGGACGUUUACUCAUCUCUAACAUCCCUGGUGCCAAACAUCUAGUUAUCCUUGUCUUAUAACAAAACCCAGAACACUGAAGCAGAACAAACCAUGCACAAACCACGCUAAGCCUGCCGAACCACACACAACCAAGAAGGAAGGGCUUGCCAGAUGAAAGGUCUUAGCUUUCACUUUGUAAAAUAUCUACUCCUUCAAGUCUAACUUGGACAAAAAUCUCUAAGCUUUCGAAACCACUGAGCCAAAAUAUCAAAGUUUUCUCUGAAUGAAAGUUAAACUGAAAUUUA
rnacentral:antisense_RNA from 1 species